rnacentral:rRNA from 1 species
CUCUGUGACUCCUACGGGAGGCAGCAGUGGGGAAUAUUGCACAAUGGGCGCAAGCCUGAUGCAGCCAUGCCGCGUGUGUGAAGAAGGCCUUCGGGUUGUAAAGCACUUUCAGUCGUGAGGAAGGUAGUGUAGUUAAUAGCUGCAUUAUUUGACGUUAGCGACAGAAGAAGCACCGGCUAACUCCGUGCCAGCAGCCGCGGUAAUACGGAGGGUGCGAGCGUUAAUCGGAAUUACUGGGCGUAAAGCGCAUGCAGGUGGUUUGUUAAGUCAGAUGUGAAAGCCCGGGGCUCAACCUCGGAAUAGCAUUUGAAACUGGCAGACUAGAGUACUGUAGAGGGGGUAGAAUUUCAGGUGUAGCGGUGAAAUGCGUAGAGAUCUGAAGGAAUACCGGUGGCGAAGGCGGCCCCCUGGACAGAUACUGACACUCAGAUGCGAAAGCGUGGGGAGCAAACAGGAUUAGAUACCCUGGUAG